AUUCCUAUACUUUAAAAUUGCAUUCGCACAAUUAACUAAUUGCAAAUUCAUGACACCGAUAUGAUGCAUCAAAGCAAGUCACAAAGUUGCACUUUUGCUGUUUUUCUCAAGGAUAUCACAGCAAUUACAAACGUUUAAAUUAACCAUUUGCUGGAAUUCGCCAACAAAAAAACAGGCAGAAAGAUAAAUCAUUUAAUUAGCAGCAAUCACGAAACAAUUGAUGGCAGAAUUAAUGUCUCUCCAGGCAUUUGAGCUCUCUUGAGAAGGAUUGAAGCAUCUGUCGAUGGCAAUUGGUUGCAAGUUGCUGCUGCGUUUGCCGCGUUGAUUACAUUUCGAGGCAUUUGCGGCAUCGUCGGCAUUUUCACCAAAUGAAUUAAUUAAAUCAGUGAGCAGAGACACUUUUGUAAUUAGAAAUGCCCGCAUUUGGCGCUGAGGCGGACACAAAAAAGGCCGCAAUAAUGUAAACUUAAGGAAAGGAAAGCGGCGCCACACAAAAUGAGGCAUCACAAAGUGGUUGCUUCGCUUUUAUUUUACUUUAGUUUGUUUUUUCCAAGAAUUCAAGAAAUGCAAUGCGUUUUCGGCUCAUUUUCUAAACGUAAAUAGAAAACAGCGGCGAGGUCGGAUUUUAUUAUAGCUUGGCAAGUUUAAGGCUAAAGUCAAGGCGAUUUCAAAAUGUGUAUUUAUGGACGCAUUUAACUUACCGCUGUGGAGCUGCGUUUGCGCAGUAAAUUGUCCAGGCAGAGUUGCAGCUCAAAGGCCUUCAAAUAGAGCAGAUGAUAACGAUCGCGUAGACGCUCCAAAUUGCCUUCACCUUUCCUUGGAUGAGCUGCGGAUGGAGCUGCUGUUGUUGCUGUUGGAGCUGCUGUUGUGGCUGCUGUGCUGGGCGUGGUCAAUGGUG